rnacentral:rRNA from 1 species
UCAGUCGACUCCUACGGGGAGGCAGCAGUGGGGGAAUAUUGCACAAUGGGCGCAAGCCUGAUGCAGCCAUGCCGCGUGUGUGAAGAAGGCCUUCGGGUUGUAAAGCACUUUCAGUCGUGAGGAAGGUAGUGUAGUUAAUAGCUGCAUUAUUUGACGUUAGCGACAGAAGAAGCACCGGCUAACUCCGUGCCAGCAGCCGCGGUAAUACGGAGGGUGCGAGCGUUAAUCGGAAUUACUGGGCGUAAAGCGCAUGCAGGUGGUUUGUUAAGUUCAGAUGUGAAAGACCCGGGGCUCAACCUCGGAAUAGCAUUUGUAAACUAGGCAGACUAGAGUACUGUAGAGGGGGGUAGGAAUUUCAGGUGUAGCGGUGAAAUGCGUAGAGAUCUGAAGGAAUACCGGUGGCGAAGGCGGCCCCCCUGGACAGAUACUGACACUCAGAUGCGAAAGCGUGGGGAGCAAACAGGAUUAGAUACCCCUGGUAG